rnacentral:rRNA from 1 species
CCCUUAGAUGUUCUUGGCCGCACGCGCGCUACAAUGGUCUUCGCAAACGGAUGCAUUCUCGAAGGAGAAUGCCAAUCUUGGAAUCUAUGCCUUGGUCGGGACAGUUGCUUGCAAUUUUUCGACUCGAACCAGGAAUUCCUUGUAAUCGUGAUUCAUCACAUCACGAUGAAUACGUCCCUGCCCUUUGUACACACCGCCCGUCGCUCCUACCGAUCGAAGAGUUAGGUGAAUUGUUUUGAUCGAUAAGAUUUGACUAUGGUCAACUCUCGUUGUGAAAUUCUGUGAAUCUGACUGUUUAGAGGAAGGAAAAGUCGUAACA